rnacentral:rRNA from 1 species
UACGGAGGGGGCGAGCGUUAUUCGGAAUCAUUGGGCGUAAAGGGCGCGUAGGCGGCUUCAUAAGUCUUGGGUGAAAGCCCUCGGCUCAACCGAGGAAUUGCCUUGGAUACUGUGAAGCUCGAGGCUGGAAGAGGGCAGUGGAAUUCCCGGUGUAGCGGUGAAAUGCGUAGAUAUCGGGAGGAACAUCGAUGGCGAAAGCAACCGCCUGGGCCUGAACUGACACUGAGACACGAAAGCGUGGGGAGCAAACAGG